AUUGAACGCUGGCGGCAUGCUUUACACAUGCAAGUCGAACGGCAGCGCGGGCUUCGGCCUGGCGGCGAGUGGCGAACGGGUGAGUAAUGCAUCGGAACGUGCCCAGUAGUGGGGGAUAGCCCGGCGAAAGACGGAUUAAUACCGCAUAAGACCUGAGGGUGAAAGCGGGGGACCGAAAGGCCUUGCGCUAUUGGAGCGGCCGAUGUCGGAUUAGCUAGUUGGUGGGGUAAAGGCUUACCAAGGCGACGAUCCGUAGCUGGUCUGAGAGGACGACCAGCCACACUGGAACUGAGACACGGCCCAGACUCCUACGGGAGGCAGCAGUGGGGAAUUUUGGACAAUGGGGGCAACCCUGAUCCAGCCAUGCCGCGUGCGGGAAGAAGGCCUUCGGGUUGUAAACCGCUUUUGUUCGGGAAGAAAUCCUCUGGGCUAAUACCCCGGGGGGAUGACGGUACCGGAAGAAUAAGCACCGGCUAACUACGUG
rnacentral:rRNA from 1 species